AUGGGGAGCGGGAGCGGACCAGUCGUGUGGAGAGAGAUAGCGUCGUCGCCUCCGCCGGGAUUCGGCCGGCCGACGGAGGGAGUGCGCGGAACAGCCUCGGGGAGCGAGAGGCCGUCACCGGCCCCGGGAUUCGGCGCCGCGAGGCCGUCAUCGACGCAGUCCGGAGGUACCAAGUCUGCUGCUCGUACCGAUAUGUUGCUCGAAGCAGGAAUGGAAGCUGGCAGUGAUAAUCUUGAGGUUCAACGGCAUGUUGGGAAUGAAAGUGCAUCCCCCGCGAAAGGCACAAAGAGGAAAUUUGUUGUUGAUGCAACCGAAGGUGCAUCACCAGGUGUUAAUGCAAGUAACACUGGGCAGCACCAGCAUUCCCGCAGAAAAGGUAAGGGUCCUGGGAAACAUGCAAAGCUGGAAGACAACAAAGGUGCUACUAGGUUGGGGAGAGAUCAGACACCAAUCGGCGUAUUUGAAGAUGAAUGCGUUUUCUGCCAUUCAUUUAGAACCAGUGAGCCGUUCCAUGGUCCGAUGGUACUGUAUCACAAUAGAAGGAUUGUGCCCAGUGACGAGGGGAACCCUACCAACGCCAUCUAUGUCCACGAGAAAUGCAUGGUUUGGGCCCCAAAAGUGGAAUCCAAUGGUGAUACUUUUAAGAAUGUGGAGAGUGAAAUCAAUCGUUCUAAAAGAUUGAGAUGCAGAAGAUGCAAACUCCGGGGAGCAGCGCUUGGUUGUUAUGACAACUCCUGCAGAAAAAGUUAUCAUGUCCCAUGUGCAAUGAUGAUACCAGAAUGCCGCUGGGAUCCUGAGAAUCGCCGUGUUUGGUGCCCCAAGCAUGCACCACCUGAUGAGAUGAGCUCACCAACAAUGGAGAGUGACACUCUUUCGCCUGUCCUUCAAAAUCAUUCCAGCCAAUGUCCAGCUAAAGAAAUUUCGGUCGAUUGCCAAAUGGAAGAUGAACACAUUAAUCCAUUACCGUGCGAUGAGAUGAGCUCACCAAUAAUUGAAAGCGACAUUACUUCCGCUGUCCUUCAGAGUCAUUCCAGCCAAUGUCCAACUAAAGAAAUUUCGGUCGAUUGCCAAAUGGAAGAGGAACACAUUAAUCCAUUACCGGGCGAUGAGAUGAGCUCACCAAUAAUUGAAACUGACAUUACUUCCGCUGUCCUUCAGAAUCAUUCCAGCCAAUGUCCAGCUAAAGAAAUUUCGGUCGAUUGCCAAAUGGAAGAUGAACACAUUAAUCCAUUACCAGGCGAUGAGAUGAGCUCACCAAUAAUUGAAACUGACAUUACUUCUGCUGUCCUUCAGAAUCAUUCCAGCCAAUGUCCAGCUAAAGAAAUUUCCGGCGAUUGCCAAGUUGAAAAUGAACACAUUAAUCCACUCGCCACAUCAAUUUCUUCUUUGCCUGGACAAGUGCCUGGCCAAUAUUUAGUUAAAGGAGGAACAUCUGUCCUUGAUAGAAGGGAAGAUCUGCAAGUAGAUCAGCUGAACACCUCGAGUUCUUCCUUGCCUCAGGGCCAAUGUUUGGACAGAGGAAGAAUUUCUGCUAAUCACCGGAGAGAAGAAAAGCUAGUAAACCAGUCUAGCACCCCUGUGGAUCAAUGGGUUUUGCUCGGUAUAUCUUUAAGUGCAUCAGAAAAGGAUUCCUUGAAGGAAUUUGCAUCCUUAACCAGUUCAACCUUGGCUGAGGAAUGGAACAAAAAUGUGACCCAUGUAAUUGUGGGCAGAAACGCCGGUGAUGCAUGUGGCAGAUCAUAUGAGGUCCUGAUGGCGAUACUCUCUGGGAAAUGGGUUGUCACAGCCGGAUGGAUUGUGGAUUGCUUGGUGGAACCGAUUCCAGAUCUAAAAACUUGCUUGGAAAAGCCGAUCCCAGGCCCGGAAAUUUCUUACGAGGUGAAUUUCUGUGAUGGUUCGUGCACAUCAGGUUAUGGACCAACGAAAGGAAGAGCUACAGCUGCUGAACAGGCACCAAAACUGUUCUCGGGAUUGCAUUUCUGCCUCAGCACCUACAUAGACCCUGAAGACAGAGAAACCAUCCGAAGACUCGUAGCAGCUGGUGAAGGGCAAGUACUGGAGGGAAUCAGCCCAGACCGGUUGCAUGAGAAUCUGAACAGGAAUCCAGCGGAGGUGUACUUCAUCUACGACAGCGGCCCUCCAAGGAAGAUCACUUCGGAUUUCGAUCUUAUCCUUGCCAAGGAGAUUCAGGAGAGCAUCGAGUACGCGAAAUCGGGAGCGCAGGUGAUCAGCCACAGGAGGCUGCUCCACGCUAUCCUGUGCUACAAUGCGCGGAUCCUGGACCGGAGGCCUCACCAAGAUAUGUGA
rnacentral:rRNA from 1 species